UGAUGACACUUUCUCCGGAAUCUCUGACCCUCUGUGACGAUUCCAGAUUUGAACCCUUUUCCAGCUGAUGACUGUAGACCAAGACUCUAGACUUUUC